ACGUAGGUGGCGAGCGUUGUCCGGAUUUACUGGGCGUAAAGGGAGCGUAGGCGGACUUUUAAGUGAGAUGUGAAAUACCCGGGCUCAACUUGGGUGCUGCAUUUCAAACUGGAAGUCUAGAGUGCAGGAGAGGAGAAUGGAAUUCCUAGUGGGCCGGUCUGGUGCGUGGAGAUGAGGAAGAAGACCAGUGGCGUAGGCGAUUCACUGGACUAUAACUGACUCUAAGCCGAGAAAGCUUGGGGAGCAGAGUG
rnacentral:rRNA from 1 species